UCUUCCAAAUCAUACCCUCUGCUUCUCUACUCUCUCUCGCUCACUCUCUUCUCGACGGCGCGCACCUCCAUCGUUAGGGUUCCUCUUCAUCGCUCAUACCUCCAUCGUUAGGGUUCCUCUCCACCGUGCUUCCAUCAUCAAACCACACCUUCCUUCUGCUCUGCUUCGUUUUCACCUCACCGUGCUUCAAUCAAUCAAACCACACCUUCCUUCUGCUGCUUCGUCUUCACCAUCGCUUCCAUCACUCAAGCUCGUGUGGGUUCUGCUUCUUCUUCACCGAGCCCGUCCGCUCCAGCGCGACUGCAUCCCACGGCGCGCCGCACCUUCCGCUGCCAUUAUCAAGGAGAAUUCAUUACAGAAGCACUUUGGAAGUCCCAUUUGCUUUUGGAAACCAGUUGUGUGUACUGGUAUAUGAUGUCUAUUACCUCUUGGCUUUAAUAUUUUCAAUUUAAUCCAUGGCUCUUGGGUUAUUAAGAUAGAAUUGUGCGUAUAAGGAGCUUGAUGGCGGUAGGAGGUUUCUCUGUUUGUUUGAGUUUUGGUUGGUGGUGCUAGGUGCUGCAAUGGAUUAUUUUAAUGGUGUGCUUCUAGUUUGGGGUUUUGGUGCAGAUGGUGUUGAUAUGCAGCGUGCUGGCAGGGGUGUUUUUAGUUGUAUUAGGGGAUGGAUUGUUGGGCUAGGAAUUUGAUAGUGUGGGAGGCAUUGAUGCUGGUUUGUUGAUUCUGUGCUUGCGGUUCAUGAAUAACAUGGAGUCUGGUGGUUCUUGUGUGACAUUCAAGGUGCUGGAUAUUCAUUAAUUCACUGCUGAAAUUGACUCCAAGUAACUUCCCAAAGGUGAAUGGAGGAAAGAAAUAGAAUCUGUUGUCGGCAAGUAAUAUAAGAAGGAAAGAUAGAGAGAGGGCAAGUGAUAUAAAGGUUUUUUGGUGGAUGAGAGUAUGAAUGAGUUGCAAACCCAAAUCAAUGAAUGGAAGAAAGGAUGCAACAACCACCAAUGCCAACCCCAAAUCAAGAGGAGUUAGAAACUGAUGAGUCAGAGAAUGAGGAGGAUCUUGGUGCUUUUCCAUGAAAACUUUGUCAAGCUUUGUUUCUAUAUUUAAUGUAAUAGACUAUGUUUAAUGUAAUAGUAAUCUACUAGACUAGUUUAAGUAGUUCAUGGUAUACUUUUUGUGAUGAUUCAGUGAUGAAUUUAGGUGGAUAUGUUAAGAUUGUGUGUUUUGUGA